rnacentral:rRNA from 1 species
CCGGGAAACCGGGGCUAAUACCGGAUGGUUGUUUGAACCGCAUGGUUCAAACAUAAAAGGUGGCUUCGGCUACCACUUACAGAUGGACCCGCGGCGCAUUAGCUAGUUGGUGAGGUAACGGCUCACCAAGGCAACGAUGCGUAGCCGACCUGAGAGGGUGAUCGGCCACACUGGGACUGAGACACGGCCCAGACUCCUACGGGAGGCAGCAGUAGGGAAUCUUCCGCAAUGGACGAAAGUCUGACGGAGCAACGCCGCGUGAGUGAUGAAGGUUUUCGGAUCGUAAAGCUCUGUUGUUAGGGAAGAACAAGUACCGUUCGAAUAGGGCGGUACCUUGACGGUACCUAACCAGAAAGCCACGGCUAACUACGUGCCAGCAGCCGCGGUAAUACGUAGGUGGCAAGCGUUGUCCGGAAUUAUUGGGCGUAAAGGGCUCGCAGGCGGUUUCUUAAGUCUGAUGUGAAAGCCCCCGGCUCAACCGGGGAGGGUCAUUGGAAACUGGGGAACUU